AAUAGAUACCCCGGUAGUCCACGCCGUAAACGAUGAGUGCUAAGUGUUAGGGGGUUUCCGCCCCUUAGUGCUGCAGCUAACGCAUUAAGCACUCCGCCUGGGGAGUACGGUCGCAAGACUGAAACUCAAAGGAAUUGACGGGGGCCCGCACAAGCGGUGGAGCAUGUGGUUUAAUUCGAAGCAACGCGAAGAACCUUACCAGGUCUUGACAUCCCAUUGACCGCUAUGGAGACAUAGCUUUCCCUUCGGGGACAGUGGUGACAGGUGGUGCAUGGUUGUCGUCAGCUCGUGUCGUGAGAUGUUGGGUUAAGUCCCGCAACGAGCGCAACCCUUGUUCUUAGUUGCCAUCAUUUAGUUGGGCACUCUAAGGAGACUGCCGGUGACAAACCGGAGGAAGGUGGGGAUGACGUCAAAUCAUCAUGCCCCGUUAUGACCUGGGCUACACACGUGCUACAAUGGACGGUACAAACGGUUGCCAACCCGCGAGGGGGAGCUAAUCCGAUAAAACCGUUCUCAGUUCGGAUUGUAGGCUGCAACUCGCCUAC
rnacentral:rRNA from 1 species